CCAAGCCAGUCGACAAUGAAUAUUUGAUUUUAAACACUACCUACAUCCAGUAUGUUACUUGACUCCCAAUACGGAUGUGGAGGGCGUUUACACUCAGAGAUUCUGGAGCCACUGCCGUCCAG
rnacentral:precursor_RNA from 15 species